UACAGAGGGGGCAAGCGUUGUUCGGAUUUACUGGGCGUAAAGGGCGCGUAGGCGGCAAUUCAAGUCAGCUGUGAAAUCUCCGGGCUUAACUCGGAACGGUCAGCUGAUACUGCUUUGCUAGAGUGCAGAAGGGGCAAUCGGAAUUCUUGGUGUAGCGGUGAAAUGCGCAGAUAUCAGGAGGAACACCGGUGGCGAAGGCGGUUCUCUGGGCCUGUACUGACGCUGAGGAACGAAAGCGUGGGGAGCGAACAGG
rnacentral:rRNA from 1 species